rfam:TPA: Bos taurus chromosome 6, whole genome shotgun sequence.
UUCCCAGUGGCUCAGAUGGUAAAGCGUCUGCCUACAACGCAGGAGACCUGGGUUCAAUCUCUGGGUUGGGAAG